rnacentral:rRNA from 1 species
AGUGAACGCUGGCGGCGUGCCUAAUACAUGCAAGUCGAACGAACGAAUAAGAGCUUGCUCUUAUAAGUUAGUGGCGCACGGGUGAGUAAUAUAUAGCUAAUCUGCCUCUUAGUAGAGGAUAACAGUCGGAAACGAUUGCUAAUACUCUAUACUUCUGCUUUACAUAAGUAAAGUAGAGAAAGUUUUUCGCUAAGAGAUGAGGCUAUACUGUAUCAGCUAGUUGGUAAGGUAACGGCUUACCAAGGCUAUGACGCAUAACUGGUCAGAGAGGAUGAUCAGUCACAUUGGAACUGAGACACGGUCCAAACUCCUACGGGAGGCAGCAGUAGGGAAUACUGCGCAAUGGGGGAAACCCUGACGCAGCAACGCCGCGUGGAGGAUGACACUUUUCGGAGCAAAAACUCCUUUUAUCGGGAAAGAAUAAUGACGGUACCCAAUGAAUAAGCACCGGCUAACUCCGUG